rnacentral:tRNA from 1 species
UGCGGAGUCGCUAAUGGCAAGCAACUCGGCUCUGAACCGAGCGAUGUAGGUUCGACUCCUACCUCCGCAGCCA